CCGCCAGAGAACUACUAGUGAAAAACUUGAAACUCAAAGGACUUGGCGGUGUCCCAUUUCGACCUAGAGGAGCCUGUCCUAUAAUCGACACUACCCGAUCCACCUAACCUAGACUCGCACAUUCAGCCUAUAUACCGCCGUCGACAGUCUACCCCAUGAGGGGCCCUUAGUAGACACAAUAGCAACAGCUCGCUAGUACGUCAGGUCAAGGUGNAGCAAAUGCCUAGGCAGUGAUUGGCUACAUUUUUUACUUUAGAACAAACGAAAUGCAAUAUGAAACGCUGCAUGAAGGUGAAUUUAGUAGUAAAAU
rnacentral:rRNA from 1 species